rnacentral:pre_miRNA from 1 species
UUAAUACUCCCUCCGUCCCAAAAUUCUUGUCUUAGAUUAGUCUAGAUACGGAUGUAUCUAAUACUAAAACGUGACUUGAUACAUUCGUAUUUAGACAAAUUUAAGAGAAGAAUUUUUGGACGGAGGGAGUAUAUU